rnacentral:rRNA from 1 species
GAGUUUGAUCCUGGCUCAGAUUGAACGCUGGCGGCAUGCCUUACACAUGCAAGUCGAACGGCGGCAUGAUCUAGCUUGCUAGAUUGAUGGCGAGUGGCGAACGGGUGAGUAAUACAUCGGAACGUGCCCUGUAGUGGGGGAUAACUAGUCGAAAGAUUAGCUAAUACCGCAUACGACCUGAGGGUGAAAGUGGGGGACCGCAAGGCCUCAUGCUAUAGGAGCGGCCGAUGUCUGAUUAGCUAGUUGGUGGGGUAAAGGCCCACCAAGGCGACGAUCAGUAGCUGGUCUGAGAGGACGAUCAGCCACACUGGGACUGAGACACGGCCCAGACUCCUACGGGAGGCAGCAGUGGGGAAUUUUGGACAAUGGGCGAAAGCCUGAUCCAGCAAUGCCGCGUGUGUGAAGAAGGCCUCGGUUGUAAGUACGACUUU